rnacentral:tRNA from 1 species
GGAGAGGUGGCCGAGUGGCUGAAGGCGGCGGUUUGCUAAACCGUUAUACGGUGUUUUAUCCGUAUCGAGGGUUCGAAUCCCUCCCUCUCCG